GGUGUUAAACACUUAGAGGAGGAGGCACGACAUCCGCUGGGAAGUCACACGGUUGACAGACAUCCUGAAACUGCAGCGAUGAUCCGCAGAUCAUUUUCACACCUGGUUUUGCUGAGAAUGGUGCUUCCGUCAUCGGAAAAACAGAGCGACGCCCUCGAGAAUCACUUGUGAGCGGCACCAUUGUGUCGCUUGAGCCGCACUAAACACACAGGACGCUCACACCUACAAAGGAAAGCUCGUCUGCAGCCGCUCUUUUCUCCUCUGUAGUCGAGUCCCGCUAGUAAAGUACCUGGUUUUAAGAAAAGGGGGAAAAAAAUAACGAAGCAGAAAAUGGUGACGGUCAAGCUCCUGUAAGUUAUCUGGUAUAAUGCAAGAGAAUCAUGAGAAAAUAUCUCAACACUGUUACGAUUGAAGAUCUCAGCUUAGAAAUUCACCAUUUUUUCCUCUUUUUUCAAUCUUUUAACAUAAUUCCAAUCUUAAUGAGUCGGGUCUAGAUAUUUCAUUUUUUUCCACUCUGAGUUUGUGUGGUUUUCUCAUUUCACAAAGCAUCGGCAUCAUCUCUUCCUCAUCCUCUCUUAGAAACAACUACACCCAUUUGGGGUUUCCAUGUCCGCUUUUAUCAGCGUUGGAGGCACAUUUCCACCGUUUUUCUCCCCAGAGAGUUAGAGCUCGGUCACAACUACAGCGUUCCGUCUCCUCUGCUAUUUGCAUAAUACAUGAACUGAUUCAGGGAACGAGCUCGCUGAAGCAGUUGCUUAAUUUGAAGAUGAAUGCUGCUUAAAUUGCGGAUAAUCUUGGUUCUCAAAUGUCUGCUCAAGUAGCAGUUUGUGCAGAAGGCUGAGAAUGACUGAAUCAUGUACUUUUUUACAAACUAUAGAUGAAUCACAGUAAUAUUCCACGGAGGACAGUGAACCCACCCAGAGGAAAUCCAUGUUGCCAUUGAUUUCUGAGGUUUCCAUGGUCAUGUUAUUGCACAACUGCAACAGCCUUUCUAUUCAACAGAGCGACGGACGUAUGCUGAUGGCUCAUCUGCAGCGUUAUCAAUCCAGCUUUCAUUCCCUGCACUGCCAUGAGGAAGUCUGUGCUGCCUUAAUCAUCCCAUCCCAACAUCGGCUGCUCAUUCUUUUAAUUACCAAUCUGAGGAUUGCCAUUGCUGCUGUCUGUGAAGCAGUUCUCUUCCAAGAUGCAAUUACUGAGACAACCAAUUGCCUCAGCAUCAUUAAGAUGCAUGGAUGUUUCAGAAACAAUUAAGCUUGUUAGCUAUAUACAUAUCAUCAGAGGUGUUUGAGGGGGCGGUUUGGCUUGAUGAAUAAAAGCUUAUCAGCAGGAACAAAUACUGCAGACUGAACACUAAAUGGCUAAAUGAACACAUUUGAAAAUGAAUAAUGAAUUGUGUCCAAGUAAGACAGGGCUGACUGCAUGUAGAAUGUUAGGAGAAAUAAUGGUUUUUGUAUUAAGUGGUUUUACAUUAAAAUGAAUGAAGCAAAUGGCAAUAAAACACCAGCAAUUCAACAGAAAUAAAGCAAAAGGAAAGUUUGAAAAGCUUUGGGGGUCCUGGUCGGCUGAGUGGUUCAGCAUCUUUGUCAAUCAGGAAUAGGAUUACUGUGGAGGGACAUUGUGCUGGACAUCAUGGGCUGGAUCAGUGGUGAGGCAGAAAGACAGAGAUGGGCUCAUCAGGGUGACGGCAGGGUGAGUUGGAGUCUAGGAUUAUGGGUCAAUAAUGCUGUUUGGAUCAAAAGGUCAGCACCAGGAAGACAGAAGAAAUAAACAAAUUAAACAAAGUGCAAAAAUAAAAUGUAAAAAUAUUUUUGGGAAAAAAGGUGAUCAUAUACAAAUGCUGGC
rnacentral:lncRNA from 1 species